ACUAGAGACCUGGAGCAUUCAGAGGAUGUACAGCUUUCUACAGUAUAUUGACAGUAAAGGGCUUAGUCAGCAGUUUACAGAACAGAAGUGCUCGUCAUCCAAUCGCUGAAAAUGCAGAAAUCUCCUAAAUGUCAAUUUAAAAAAAACAGAAAACAAGCAUUUUUUUUUAUGUUGUUCUUCAAGAAAAUAUAAUUAAUGUGAUAGGUUGGGUUUAAACUUGUAGAUUCAGGUUUGUAAGUACUUUUUUUUCAAACUUUUGCAACAAACACAUAAUUUCUUAUUUUAAACCUGUGAUGUUUAACAGGUGGAAACACUGGAGGCCCUAUACCUCUGUGGGUGUUCAUCAUUGUAGCCUUGGGUUUAGCAGCACUCUUGGCAGCAAUAAUCAUCGUGGCAGUCAUCAGACGGAAGAAGAAAACCAAAGGUGAGAACAUUCACAGAAUAAACUAGUUUUUAACAUUUUCCCUGUGGUGGUCUAGAUUGAUUCUUUUUUUGUUUGUUGUCUUUUUAGUGAACAGAACUCAGCAGGAUGCAAACACUGCUGACCCUGAAGACGGUGUCGCCUACGCCUCCAUCAACUACACCGCCAACACCAACAGGAAAGCCCAGGAGAAAGAUGACGCUGAUGAGGCUGAUGCAGUGACCUACAGCACCGUGAAGGCUUCUUCUUCUUCUUCUUCUCCUGCUGCAGCCCCUGUUGACCCCAGCGCCGUCUACGCUACCGUCAACAAACCAAAUAAAUAAGAGACCACGAUGUAGCUGCAGCUCAGAUCAGUUCAGUUCAUACUGUCUUACUGGUAUGUAUUCAUCCCUUUGGAAAAAUUGUCCCAGAAAAUUUAAUACAUAUUUAUAUUAUUGUAUACAGCUCUUACCAGAUCUGUGAUAUUGAUUCUGAUAGUAAAUUAAUUUAUUAACCAAAAAAAUUGAUCAUUUUAUAAUAGUUUUGAUGAUUUAUUGCUGUAAAAAAAAUCUGUUUUAACUUAAGUCUUAACUUAUACUUACACACAUACAUACCUUUGGAAUAACAAUUAUUUUUUGAUAAUUUACCAUUUACGAUUUAAUUCACGAUUUACGAAAAGUAUUUUAGUCCUGAAGGGGCGAAGUAGGUUAAAAAAGUAGACGUAAGAAUCUGUCAUUCAUAUUAAUUUUCUUUAUUAUUAUAAUUAUUUGCUCAGUCUUUCCUCUUUCUUCUCGCUUCUUCUUUAUCUGUUAAAAAUGUAGAAUGUAGAUGUGUAAUGUUGAACACAUACAUAUCAUUGUAAUUAUUUGUUUUUUAAUAAUUUUCCUGAUUUAUUGCUGUAAAAACAUUUAGUUCUGAAAGGGGGGAGUAUGUUAACUGCUAGUUAGGGUUAGUAAUAGUCAUUCACAUGGCUGGUUUCUUGGGCUAAAGGAGAAAAUGUAUAUAAUAUAUGAUAUAUUUUUCAUUGUAAACUUGCUGUUGGGCACAAUAUUAAGCUCAGGGAUGGAUGUUUGCUGGGUUUCUGAUUCAGUAACGUGGACUGUAAUGUGCCUUUUGUCAUAUCAUCCUGUGGACAAGGCAGCUUUUCUGUUAGGGGGAUCAAUAUGUUUAACUCCCUAACCACCAGACUGGGACAGUUAUUUCAGUGCUGAUCCGUUUUGUCCUCAUGAAUGAUCUGUUGCUUAUUGUUUCGUUUUUAUUGCAUUAUUUUUUGUGUUUUGUGCUGUUUUGUUCAUAUUUUCUUGCCAAGUUCCCAUUCAAUAAACUUGAAUA